CCUACGGGUGGCAGCAGUGAGGAAUAUUGGUCAAUGGGCGAAAGCCUGAACCAGCCAAGUAGCGUGCGGGAUGAAGGCCCUACGGGUCGUAAACUGCUUUUGCACGGGGAUAACACCCUCCACGUGUGGAGGUCUGCAGGUACCGUACGAAUAAGGGCCGGCUAAUUCCGUGCCAGCAGCCGCGGUAAUACGGAAGGCCCGAGCGUUAUCCGGAUUCAUUGGGCUUAAAGGGAGCGUAGGCGGGCGUUAAAGUCAGCUGUAAAAUCGCGGGGCUCAACCGCGCCCGGCAGUUGAAACUGGACGCCUUGAGUGCACAAGAGCAAGGCGGAAUUCGUGGUGUAGCGGUGAAAUGCAUAGAUAUCACGAGGAACCCCGAUGGCGAAGGCAGCCUGCCGGGGUGCGACUGACGCUGAGGCUCGAAGGCGCGGGUAUCAAACAGGAUUAGAUACCCUAGUAGUC
rnacentral:rRNA from 1 species